rnacentral:rRNA from 1 species
UAGGGAAUUUUCGUCAAUGGGGGCAACCCUGAACGAGCAAUGCCGCGUGAGCGAAGAAGGUCUUCGGAUUGUAAAGCUCUGUUGCCGGGGAAAAAAGGAAGGAAAGAGGAAAU